GAUGAACGCUGGCGGCGUGCCUAAUACAUGCAAGUCGAGCGAAUGGAUUAAGAGCUCGCUCUUAUGAAGUUAGCGGCGGACGGGUGAGUAACACGUGGGUAACCUGCCCAUAAGACUGGGAUAACUCCGGGAAACCGGGGCUAAUACCGGAUAAUAUUUUGAACUGCAUGGUUCAAAAUUGAAAGGCGGCUUCGGCUGUCACUUAUGGAUGGACCCGCGUCGCAUUAGCUAGUUGGUGAGGUAACGGCUCACCAAGGCAACGAUGCGUAGCCGACCUGAGAGGGUGAUCGGCCACACUGGGACUGAGACACGGCCCAGACUCCUACGGGAGGCAGCAGUAGGGAAUCUUCCGCAAUGGACGAAAGUCUGACGGAGCAACGCCGCGUGAGUGAUGAAGGCUUUCGGGUCGUAAAACUCUGUUGUUAGGGAAGAACAAGUGCUAGUUGAAUAAGUUGGCACCUUGACGGUACCUAACCAGCAAGCCACGGCUAACUACGUGCCAGCCGCCGCCGUAA
rnacentral:rRNA from 1 species